rnacentral:rRNA from 1 species
UAUNGCGCAAUGGAGGAAACUCUGACGCAGUNACGCCGCGUAUAGGAAGAAGUUUUUCGGAAUGUAAACUAUUGUCGUUAGGGAAGAGAAAGGACAGUACCUAAGGAGGAAGCUCCGGCUAACUACGUGCCAGCAGCCGCGGUAAUACGUAGGGAGCGAGCGUUAUCCGGAAUUAUUGGGUGUAAAGGGUGCGUAGACGGGAAAACAAGUUAGUUGUGAAAUCCCACGGCUUAACUGAGGAACUGCAACUAAAACUAUUUUUCUUGAGUGCAGGAGAGGUAAGUGGAAUUCCUAGUGUAGCGGUGAAAUGCGUAGAUAUUAGGAGGAACACCAGUUGCGAAGGCGGCUCUCUGGACUGUAACUGACACUGAGGCACGAAAGCGUGGGGAGCAAACAGG